rnacentral:rRNA from 1 species
UUCGGAUUGACUCUGUUGACAGUUGGUUUGACUUGGCAUUAUAAGUUAUUUUGCUGAGGACAUCUUUACGGAUGGCCAACUUGUUGACUCUGUCUUGUGCAGCUUGUGGUUACACUUGGCUGUGCGCAACAUCUUUUGACAUCUGGCCUCAAAUCAGGUAGGACUACCCGCUGAACUUAAGCAUAUCAAUAAGCGGAGGAAAAGAAACUAACAAGGAUUCCCCUAGUAACGGCGAGUGAAGCGGGAAGAGCUCAAAUUUGAAAUCUGGCUGCCUUCGGUGGUCCGAGUUGUAAUCUAGAGAAGUGUUUUCCGUGCUGGCCCAUGUACAAGUCCCUUGGAACAGGGCGUCAUAGAGGGUGAGAAUCCCGUACUUGACAUGGACUCCCAGUGCUCUGUGAUACAUUUUCAAAGAGUCGAGUUGUUUGGGAAUGCAGCUCAAAAUGGGUGGUAAAUUCCAUCUAAAGCUAAAUAUUGGCGAGAGACCGAUAGCGAACAAGUACCGUGAGGGAAAGAUGAAAAGCACUUUGGAAAGAGAGUUAAACAGUAUGUGAAAUUGUUAAAAGGGAAACGAUUGAAGUCAGUCGUGCGUUUUGGACUCAGCCAGUUCUUCUGGUGUACUUCCAUUUCGCGGGGUCAACAUCAGUUUUGCUCGGUGGAAAAGGGCUGGAGGAAGGUAGCACUCUCGGGUGAACUUAUAGCCUCCUGUCGCAUACACCGGGUGGGACUGAGGAACGCAGCAUGCCUUUUGGCCGGGGUUCGCCCACGUACAUGCUAG